rnacentral:rRNA from 1 species
GGGACGAACGCUGGCGGCGUGCCUAAUACAUGCAAGUCUAAGGGGUUCGGUUCCUUCGGGGAUCGGAUCACUGGCGCACGGGUGAGUAACACGUAAGUCAUCUGCCCCUGGGUCUGGCAUAACGUCGGGAAACCGGCGCUAAUACCAGAUGAUAUCGCAAGAUCAAAGUUUUCGAGCGCCCAGGGAUGAGCUUGCGUCUGAUUAGCUAGUUGGCGGGGUAACGGCCCACCAAGGCGACGAUCAGUAGCCGGUCUGAGAGGAUGAUCGGCCACAUUGGGACUGAGACACGGCCCAGACUCCUACGGGAGGCAGCAGUAAGGAAUAUUGCGCAAUGGAGGAAACUCUGACGCAGCAACGCCGCGUGUAGGAUGAAGGCCCUUCGGGUCGUAAACUACUGUAGCGAGGGGAAUAACGGUCCGCCGUGGGUGGACAGUGAAGGUACCCUGAAAGUAGCGCCGGCUAACUACGUGCCAGCAGCCGC